CUUCCCGCUGCCAGCGUCACUUUCUUUGCCGGCAAGCUGUUAGUCUCCACAUCUCACUUUUUUUUUGCAACUUCAGUCUCCUCCGUGACUUAACUUCUCCAAAAUGAGUGUAAGAAGAAACCAGAUGUCCUUCUCCCGCUCCACUCCCAACUACAGUUCUUUCAGUGUCCAUGCUGGUUCUGGUGGGUAUGGGUCCCGCAUUUCCUCUCCAUCUACAUCUUCCAUGCGCUCUGGUGCCCCCUUCAUCUCUGCCUCCUCGGCCUCCCGGCUGAGCAGUGGAAUGGGUGGAGGUAUGGGCUCAGGUUUUGGUGGUGCCGGUGCAUCUGUGGCGGCUGGCGGUGGUGCCAGUGGUGCUGGGAUCCUGGGCAACGAGAAGGGAGCCAUGCAGAACCUGAACGACCGCCUGGCCAACUACCUGGACACGGUGAGGAACCUGGAGAAAGCCAACCAGGAGCUGGAGACGAAGAUCAGGCAGGCUCUGGAGAAGGGAGGGCCAGACAUGAGGGACUACAGCAAGUACGAGCCAAUCAUUGAUGACCUGCGCAGACAGAUCUUCGAUAAGAUCGCAGAGAACGCUCGUUUUGUGCUCCAGAUUGACAACGCCCGCCUUGCUGCUGACGACUUCAAAGUGAAGUUUGACAAUGAGCUGGCAAUCCGCCAGUCUGUGGAGGCCGACAUCGCCGGGCUUAAGAAACUCAUUGACGACACCAACAUGACCAGGAUGAACAUCGAGAGUGAGAUCGAGGCUGUGAAGGAGGAGCUCUCCUUCCUCAAGAAGAACCACGAGAACGAGGUGAUGGAGAUGAGGAAUCAGAUCUCUUCAUCAGGCGUGCAGGUGGACGUUGACGCUCCUAAAGGUCAGGACCUGUCUCAGGUCAUGGAGGACGUGAGGAGCAACUAUGAAAAGAUAGCAGUGAAGAAUGCAGAGGAUCUCAAACGGUGGCAUGAAAAUCAGAUCUCAGAGGUGCAGGUGCAGGUAUCACAGAACACAGAAGCCCUACAGGGAGCCCAGAUGGAGAGGAGCGACCUAACCAGGCAGAUACAGACCCUGGAAAUUGAACUUGCGUCCCAACAGAGCUUGAAAGCCUCUUUAGAAGACACAUUAAACAACACAGAGCUAAGAAACAACAUGGAAAUGGAAAAGUACAACGCCAUUAUUAUGCGACUUGAAGAAGAGCUGACCAACUUGCGUGCAAACAUCCAGCAACAGACGCAGGAUUACGAGGCGCUGCUCAACAUGAAGAUGAAACUAGAGGCUGAGAUUUCCAUGUACAAGAGUCUGCUGGAUGGUGGAGACUUCAAGUAAGAGUUAUAAAGAGGUGGACGGAAAAAAAUCAGAUGGUGGUGGUGGUGGAGGUUCGAGGAUGCACUGGAUGAGCUUGCCGGAACAAUCUAAUUUGGAACAAAGAAUUUGGUACCAUCCCAAAUACUGAAAGAAGGAACUACAAGAAUUCACUCUAAAAAAAAGUCCAUGCUGGUCCACUCAAUCAAAUAAAACUGAUGCUGGCUUGACAGCAAAAUAAACUUACAUGCAACCACUAUAA